rnacentral:lncRNA from 1 species
UCCCACCGGGCAUGCCAAAAGAUGUCUUGAUGCAAAAGCUGAUAUGCAAACACAAAGGGCUAAUACCCGAUUCAAACGUUAAGGCGUGCCAGUCGAUUUGACCUUACAAUCGACAAAGGUGGUAACUCAAACACUUUGGUCCCGGCAACAAUGAUGCGCCCGAAUGUCACGUCCAAGAGGUGCUCACACGGAACAUGAGAACGCGCCGAGUUUGACUCGAUGAAUUCCUAAGAACUCGUAAUAAAAAGAAAAA